UCCCCGCUAAUAGACACCAUGACUUCUUGGAGAAAUGGCUGAUUUCUCCAGGUGUGACUUCUCCAUGGCUGAUCGCGUCUCAAGUCUGGAGUGAGGAAUGCGUGAGAUGAGCCAGACACAUCUUGCCACAACAGCUUCUUCAUCCUCCACAAGCCCAGAGGCAAUGGUUGUGGCUGUGACAGAUUUCCCUUAGGGCUCUAGCUCCAGAGUAAGGACACCGCGUUGUCUAAUUAGAAGGCCCCACUGACCCACCGGAAUAUAAGCUCGGGAACUUCAGAGACUGUGUCUGCCAAGUUCGCUGCUGUAUUCCUGGCUUCCCCCGGCAUUUGGUAGGUGCUCAAUAUUCAUCGAAUGACUGCAUGACAGAGGUCUCGCUUUGACAGGAUGAAGAGUAUAGCAUCGUCAGUCAUAUAAAAGACACUGCAACUCCACCACAAGAGCUUGGCUCCUCUCUGUUUCUGAGUGAGUCGUAUCUUUACCUCUGAGGUCGCUUCCUGACCCUUUUGGAUACCAGCGCUCCCACCGCGUGGGUCAGGUGGCUGAGGAGCUGCAGGAGGUUCCUUGGUGAACCACUUUUGCGAAGGAUGCCUUGCUGCUUCCAGAGGAAGACCAGAGAGGGACUGGCCCAGCCAGGGGAGGCGCCGGAUAGUCCUUUUGCCUUAAUUCUGAGCCAGUUUGGUGACGCUUCAGAGACGCAAGGACUAUGGCCAACCCCCAAUUCCCCUCCCUGGGGAAGCAUUCACCAUGAUGGCUACUCGGAAGAAGCAAGGACAUCUGCGGGCUCUGGGGCUCAAGACGGGUUCAUCCCCCAAAUACCAGGGAAAGAUAGCACAGGUCUGUGCAAGUGUGGGCGGGCCCUCUGCUGCUCCUGCUUCCCAUCUAGGCCCCCAACUCCCACUCCUGGGGGCCCCAAGAAAACCGGGAUGUGAGGUGCACCGUUGUAAGAACGUGAGGUACAGCCUUCCUCCUCUCAGACCCAAAUGCAAGGCAUGUUUGGAAGGUAGCAUCGUUUAUGGUGAUUUCAAUGAAAUUCAGAUUUACACAAAA